GACGAACGCUGGCGGCGUGCUUAACACAUGCAAGUCGAACGCUGAAGCCCUUCGGGGUGGAUGAGUGGCGAACGGGUGAGUAACACGUGGGUAAUCUGCCCUGCACUCUGGGAUAAGCCUUGGAAACGGGGUCUAAUACCGGAUAGGACACAUCGCCGCAUGGUGUGUGUGUGGAAAGUUCCGGCGGUACAGGUUGAGCCCGCGGCCUAUCAGCUUGUUGGUGGGGUGAUGGCCUACCAAGGCGACGACGGGUAGCCGGCCUGAGAGGGUGACCGGCCACACUGGGACUGAGACACGGCCCAGACUCCUACGGGAGGCAGCAGUGGGGAAUCUUGCGCAAUGGGCGAAAGCCUGACGCAGCAACGCCGCGUGGGGGAUGACGGCCUUCGGGUUGUAAACCUCUUUCGACCGGGACGAAGGAUUCGUUUGACGGUACCGGUAGAAGAAGCACCGGCUAACUACGUGCCAGCCGCCGCAGUAACAC
rnacentral:rRNA from 1 species